GAGAGAGAAAGAAAGAGAGAAGGAGAGAAUUAGAGAACGCACACUUAGAUUCACACAGAACACCGAAUCUAUUUAUCUAUUGUCCUUUCAGGUGUGGACUGCACUCUUUAUCAAGAAUACUUGCCUGCCUACCAUUGUUGCACUGUGUGCAGACGGUAAUUAACUCCACCCGACCAUGUGAUAUCCCUAGCCAUACCACAGUUCCAUACCUUCACUAUUGUGACAGAAACACCUCUACUAAAAAAGACAGAACUAAAAUAUUAGCUUAUUUGUUUUACAUGACAAUGCAAGAAUUAGGCUCACAUAAAGUCUGAACAUGUUCCUUGCUGUUCUUCACAUACGUUUUUAUAAGAGUCUGGUGGAAUGCAUCAGCAAACACUGUUCUCCACCUUAAUGUGACUAAUGUGUUGACAGAGGACACAGUCACUAACCACGUUUCCAUCCACAGUUUUUAUGUGAGUAAAGUCAUACCAUAUAUAAGAAAUCAAGAUGGCUGUGAUGGAAACUUUUUUAUAAAUGCUGACAGAUUAUUUGUUUGUUCGACAUGGUGGGAUCUUUCUGAGUCAGUCAAAUUAAUUAUGCGAUAAAUGACUGUGGAAAUGGUUUUAUGCUCCAACAUUGAUAUAAUAACCAUUAUAACAAAGUAAACUUGGAGUCACGCGAAUGUAACAGGGUUGGUUAUGUUUCCACUUGCCUCUAAAGGAAGGUGUAUUCAAUGUUCAAGCAUUCUUCUUGGUUGGUUCAACUCUGAUGACAAUAAGGCGUGUUGUGAUUGGCGUCGCAUGCAGAUAGAGGGAGAUGCUGAACGUCAGUUCUCCCUAGUAUGAAAAUGUGAUGCAAGGGAUUUGACCAUCGACAGCCAUCAACAUCGUUAAGCCCUGCACAACUAACGUGCUGUUUCCUAUUUAACAACCAGAUAUUUACAUAUGUUAUAUUUGGAUUGUAUUUUGUUCACCCAGUAUGAAGAUGUGAUGCAAGGAAUUUUACCAUCGACAGCCAUCAACAAUGUUAAGCUCUGCACAAAUAAAGUGCUUUUUCCUAUUUAACAACAUAAAUAAAUAAUGCUCAACUGGAA